UACGGAGGGUGCAAGCGUUAUCCGGAUUCACUGGGCUUAAAGGGUGCGUAGGUGGGCUGGUAAGUCAGUGGUGAAAUCCCCAAGCUUAACUUGGGAACUGCCAUUGAUACUAUCAGUCUUGAAUACCGUGGAGGUUAGCGGAAUAUGUCAUGUAGCGGUGAAAUGCUUAGAUAUGACAUAGAACACCAAUUGCGAAGGCAGCUGGCUACACGAAUAUUGACACUGAGGCACGAAAGCGUGGGGAUCAAACAGG
rnacentral:rRNA from 1 species